UUCUAAAACGCCUUUUGUUGCCUGUCUA
rnacentral:piRNA from 1 species